ACAGCAGUAGCCACGGGAAUACAGAGGGUGCGAGCGUUAAUCGGAUUUACUGGGCGUAAAGCGUGCGUAGGCGGCUUUUUAAGUCGGAUGUGAAAUCCCUGAGCUUAACUUAGGAAUUGCAUUCGAUACUGGGAAGCUAGAGUAUGGGAGAGGAUGGUAGAAUUCCAGGUGUAGCGGUGAAAUGCGUAGAGAUCUGGAGGAAUACCGAUGGCGAAGGCAGCCAUCUGGCCUAAUACUGACGCUGAGGUACGAAAGCAUGGGGAGCAAACAGGAUUAGAUACCCGGGUAGUCCCUGUCUCUUAUAC
rnacentral:rRNA from 1 species